rnacentral:rRNA from 1 species
GAUGAACGCUAGCGGCAGGCCUAACACAUGCAAGUCGAGGGGUAGAAGGAGCUUGCUUCUUUGAGACCGGCGCACGGGUGCGUAACGCGUAUGCAAUCUACCUUAUACAGGGGAAUAGCCCAGAGAAAUUUGGAUUAAUGCCCCAUGGUAUUAUAGAAUGGCAUCAUUUUAUAAUUAAAGUUCCAACGGUAUAAGAUGAGCAUGCGUCCCAUUAGUUAGUUGGUAAGGUAACGGCUUACCAAGACUAUGAUGGGUAGGGGUCCUGAGAGGGAGAUCCCCCACACUGGUACUGAGACACGGACCAGACUCCUACGGGAGGCAGCAGUGAGGAAUAUUGGUCAAUGGACGCAAGUCUGAACCAGCCAUGCCGCGUGCAGGAAGAAGCAUCUAUGGUGUGUAAACUGCUUUUAUACAGGAAGAAACAACGCUACGUGUAGCGUCUUGACGGUACUGUAAGAAUAAGGACCGGCUAACUCCGUG